rnacentral:lncRNA from 1 species
UCAAGACAACAGAGACAAACAGGAAAAAAAUAUGAAAAUGAAAAGAUAUGACUUAAGUGUUAGAUAUAGGAAGAUGUGGUGUGAGUGCCAAUGAGACAACUCUCCAUCCAAAUAACAAUUUAAAAAUAAGCAAACCAUUAUAGGUCAAUGUACGGCCUUCAACACGGAGCCUUGGCUCACACCGAACAACAAGCUAUAAAGGGCCCCAAAAUUACUAGUGUAAAACCAUUCAAACGGGAAAACCAACGGUCUAAUCUAUAUAAAAAAAAAACGAGAAACGAGAAGCACGUAUUUAUUACAUAAACAAACGACAACUACUGUACAUCAGAUUCCUGACUUACGACAGGUGCAAACAUUAGCAUGUUCAGGGAGACGGCACUCAAUUUACAAAA